rnacentral:rRNA from 1 species
GAUGAACGCUGGCGGCGUGCCUAAUACAUGCAAGUCGAGCGAAUGGAUUAAGAGCUUGCUCUUAUGAAGUUAGCGGCGGACGGGUGAGUAACACGUGGGUAACCUGCCCAUAAGACUGGGAUAACUCCGGGAAACCGGGACUAAUACCGGAUAACAUUUUGAACCGCAUGGUUCGAAAUUGAAAGGCGGCUUCGGCUGUCACUUAUGGAUGGACCCGCGUCGCAUUAGCUAGUUGGUGAGGUAACGGCUCACCAAGGCAACGAUGCGUAGCCGACCGGAGAGGGUGAUCGGCGACACUGGAGCGGAGACCCGGACCAGACUCCUACGGGAGGCAGCAGUAGGGAAUCUUCCGCAAUGGACGAAAGUCUGACGGAGCAACGCCGCGUGAGUGAUGAAGGCCUUCGGGUCGUAAAACUCUGUUGUUAGGGAAGAACAAGUGCUAGUUGAAUAAGCUGGCACCUUGACGGUACCUAACCAGAAAGCCACGGCUAACUACGUGCCAGCAGCCGCGGUAA